rnacentral:lncRNA from 1 species
AUUUAAGUAUUUAGAUUUAAUUUAUUUUGAGAAAUUGAUUUUUAUUUUUAAUUAAUUAACAAAUCUGUUUUUAAUAUAUUAAAAAAAAUAAGUAAAAAGGUGUUGAUAUGAACUUGCAUUAGAUCCCUCUUUGUAACAUGCAUCCACAUGAUCAGCUAACAUGCAUUUGAGGGAGAGGAAAAAACGGUUAUAGUGGUAAAAAGAAAA